rnacentral:rRNA from 1 species
CCUGUCCUUGAUUGGGGAUAACCCUCCUAACGGAGGGCUAAUACCGAAUGACAUGAUUUGAUCGCAUGGUCGAAUCAUCAAAGCUGGCCUCUAUACUAUGCUAGCACUUAAGGAUGGUCCCGCGUCCCAUUAGCUUGUUGGUAGGGUAAAGGCUUACCAAGGCGACGAUGGGUAGCUGGUCUGAGAGGAUGGUCAGCCACACUGGGACUGAGAUACGGCCCAG